rnacentral:lncRNA from 1 species
CUUUUAUAGCCAAAGCUUCACUCUCUAAAGCCUACAAUAUUUGACAAUUUACACAUACUUUUCACAAAUUCAACAAAGUUGGCUACCAACCCAAAGAAAUUCAACAAGGUUGGCUACCAAACCAAACUAAUUCAACAAAGUUGGCGACCAACCCAAAGAAAUUCAACAAGGUUGGUUACCAAAUUAAACUAAUUCAACAAAGUUGGAUACCUAACCAAACCAAAUCAACAA